GCUUUAGAAAUCUAUUCACAUAAAAAAAAAUUCAGUAAUGCUCCUGGUUAAUGUCUAGCUCUCAGCCUGUGCAAGGAUCCUGUCAAAGAUUGACUAUAAACUGCUUCUCAGAGAAGGAGGAGUGCUCUGGAAACCUGCAGAUGAAAAGGCAAAUAGAAAGUCAGCAUGCCAGGCUGCGUCAACCACAGCUAAAGGAAUCUAUUCACAUAAAAAAAUUCCAGUAAUGCUCCUGGAUGAUAUCUAGCUCUCAGCUCGUACCAGGCUAUUGCUGUAGAUUGACUGCAAGCUGCUUUUGGGAGAAAAAGAAGUGCUCCGGAAACCUGCAGAUGAAAAGAGAAUGUCAGCAUAGUCAGAGGAGGAGGAAGCGCCUGCAACAGCAGCAGCAGCAGCAGCAGCAGCAGCAGCAGCAGCAGCAGCAGCAGCAGCAGCAGCAGCAGCAGGAUCGACAGGAUCAGCAGCAGGAUCAGCAGCAAGGGCAGCAGCAACAGCACGGGCAGCAGGGGCAGCAGGGGCAGCAGCUGCAGCAGCAGGAGCAGCAGCUGUGCCAGCAGCAGCAACAGUGCCAGCAGUGCCAGCAACUGCAGCAGCAGCAGCAGCAACAGCAGCAGCAGCAACGUAGGAGGAGAAAAAACAGGAGAAGCCGGAGGAGCAGGAAGAGCAAGAGGACCAGGAGGACCAGGAGGACCAGGAACACCAGGAGGAGGCGAAGAAGAAAUAAUGAGUGAUUGUGUCUACAUUUACAGAAAGAGUUUGAUGUGGUAGAAAUAUUCCUUGGAGAAAUGUGUACUCAAGAAUUUACUCAUGUAGAGUCUCACUAUGCUGCCAUCUGAGACUUCGAGUUCAUUACUGAAACCAUGCUUCUUCCCAGCAUCACGAGAAGAACACAACAGAUACAGAUCACCACAUUUAGCUGGUGGUAUUGUAAAAGCUCUUCAUUACUGACUUUCAUUUUUGCUUGUGUAUAAUUUGAAUCAAAUUUUAUAUUUUCUCAUUUACUACAAGUUUGCUUAACUCAUAUUUAGAUGUAACCAUAUUUUAUUACAUACCAUGUUUUUUAGAUUACAAAAGAUAUUUAAGUAAUGAAAAUAUUUGUAAUUUUUUAUUGGUUAUUUUCUUUGUUUACAUUUUAAGUGUUCUCCACAUUUCUGAUUCCAUCUCCGCAAACUGCCUAUUUCAUACCCAUUCCCCCUGCUUCUAUGAGAGUGCUCCCGAGCCCACCCACCCAUUUCCCCUUCACUGCAUUUCCUUAUGAUAUGGCAUCAAGUCUCCACAAGACCAAGAGCGUUCCCUCCCACUGAUGUCAGAAAAGCCAGUCCUCUGCUACAUAAGCAGCUGGAGCUAUGGGCUCUUCUAUGUGUAUUCUUUGGUUGGUGGUUCAGUGGAGCUCUGGGAGGUCUUGGUGAUUGAUAGUUUUGUAUAUUAUACUUUUCACUAUUUAAAACAAUAUUUUAAUUAAAUAUUCAAUGAUAUUAUACCACUUCCUCAAGUUCUUCAGCUCCUUUCCUACUUUCAUGCCAUCAUUAAGCCCCUUUGCCAAAAGAAAACAAAAUAAAUUAAAACACAACAACAACAAAGCCAAAAAGCAACAAAUAAUCCACAAAACAACAACAAAAAACAAAAAAGAUAAUAAAGUCCAAUAGAAAAUAAUUCCCUCAAAAUCAGGAAAAUAAAAUCACAUUGAAAACAAACAAAAACUAAUCAAAAUACAAAAAAAACAAACUACAAAAAACAAACAAACGAACAAACAAAAAAACAAAAACAAACAAACAAAAAAACCAACUGUAUCCAUGUUAAUGCAUACUCAAAAACUCAGAAAACUCUUCAGUCAAAUUACUUGUGGUUCUACUACUGCUGAACCUGAGGGACUGUCCUGGUGGAUGUACCUAGUUUUACUUUCAGGAAAACUAGAUUAAUCUCUUUCUAAGUGGUUAUAUGUGAGAUUUCAGUUGUUAACCUUUACUCUAGGGGCUACAUUUUCACUUAUUUAUUUAUUUAUUUAUUUAUUUAUUUAUUAUUUAUUUAUUUAUUUAUUUAUUUAUUUAUCUAUUCAUUAAUUCC
rnacentral:lncRNA from 1 species